rnacentral:misc_RNA from 1 species
UUUCCGUAGGUGAACCUGCGGAAGGAUCAUUAUUGAAUAACCUAGGUGCGAGGGCUUUCUCUACCUCGAAAGGUCGUGCACCCCCGAGUGCCCUCACGCAGAGUCAUCUCCCCCAUAUGUGCACCACCGGGUCGAUCCCGCUUUUGCUUGUUCGGAUGCUAGCUUACGUUUUCACACAUACAAUGAAUGCACUGUAGAAUGUAUUUUUUGUUUUUAACAUCACGCAACCAAAACAACUUUCAACAACGUACCUUUUGCCUCUCUCAUCGAUCAAGAACG